rnacentral:rRNA from 1 species
GUGAGACAGGUGCUGCAUGGCUGUCGUCAGCCCGUGGUGUGAAAUGUUGGGUUAAGUCCCGCAACGAGCGCAACCCUUAUCCUUUGUUGCCAGCGAUUAGGUCGGGAACUCAAAGGAGACUGCCAGUGAUAAACUGGAGGAAGGUGGGGAUGACGUCAGGUCAUCAUGGCCCUUACGACCAGGGCUACACACGUGCUACAAUGGCGCAUACAAAGAGAAGCGACCUCGC